rnacentral:rRNA from 1 species
UCAGAUUGAACGCUGGCGGCAGGCCUAACACAUGCAAGUCGAGCGGAAACGAUCCUAGCUUGCUAGGAGGCGUCGAGCGGCGGACGGGUGAGUAAUGCAUAGGAAUCUGCCCGGUAGUGGGGGAUAACUUGAGGAAACUCAAGCUAAUACCGCAUACGCCCUACGGGGGAAAGCAGGGGCUCUUCGGACCUUGCGCUAUCGGAUGAGCUUAUGUCGGAUUAGCUGGUUGGUGAGGUAACGGCUCACCAAGGCGACGAUCCGUAGCUGGUCUGAGAGGAUGAUCAGCCACAUCGGGACUGAGACACGGCCCGAACUCCUACGGGAGGCAGCAGUGGGGAAUAUUGGACAAUGGGGGCAACCCUGAUCCAGCCAUGCCGCGUGUGUGAAGAAGGCCCUCGGGUUGUAAAGCACUUUCAGCGAGGAAGAAUGCUUGUCGGUUAAUACCCGGCAAGGGAGACAUCACUCGCAGAAGAAGCACCGGCUAACUCCGUGCCAGCAGCCGCGGUAAUACGGAGGGUGCGAGCGUUAAUCGGAAUUACUGGGCGUAAAGCGUGCGUAGGCGGCUUGAUAAGCCGGUUGUGAAAGCCCCGGGCUCAACCUGGGAACGGCAUCCGGAACUGUUAGGCUAGAGUGCAGGAGAGGAAGGUAGAAUUCCCGGUGUAGCGGUGAAAUGCGUAGAGAUCGGGAGGAAUACCAGUGSCGGAAGGCGGSCAUCUWCACUGACACWUGACGCGAAGUAWCGAAAGCGGAGAUAGSAAAAMAGARAAAACCGSUAGUAGACAAUGCGWUAAACMACARAAACCCGCCCGUCGGUCRUCAGUAGKUCUAUGUGUGKUGAUASUYYACGCGUGMSUCACKCUGCAGUCGUAUAUGAACUAUASUAGCAGAUCGRGAGAKAGRCAUGAUA